rnacentral:tRNA from 1 species
UGCAGAGAUACCCAAGUGGUAAAGGGAGCUGUUUGCUAAACAGCCAGGGUGUAACAGCCGCACAGGUUCGAAUCCUGUUCUCUGCGU